GUUCCCAACUGGCUUAACUCAACACUAGCACUAUUAUCAAUUUAUCUUAAAGAGUAGACAAAAAAAACAGGCCCAU
rnacentral:tRNA from 1 species